UACGUAGAGGGCUAGCGUUGUCCGGAAUCAUUGGGCGUAAAGAGCGUGUAGGCGGUCCGGUAAGUCCGCUGUGAAAGUCGGGGGCUCAACCCUCGAAUGCCGAUGGAUACUGUCGGGCUAGAGUGCGGAAGAGGCGAGUGGAAUUCCUGGUGUAGCGGUGAAAUGCGCAGAUAUCAGGAGGAACACCUAUUGCGAAGGCAGCUCGCUGGGACGUAACUGACGCUGAGACGCGAAAGCGUGGGGAGCAAACAGG
rnacentral:rRNA from 1 species